rnacentral:rRNA from 1 species
AUGAUCCAUCUGAAGCAGCCGCUGGUGCUCUCCGCGCAGAGCAGCAAUGUUGCCUCACCGCCGCUCUUCGCCACGGCGGCGGCCGCGAGCGGCCAGCAGAGGCGGGCGUCCGGCGCCGGGAGGAGCCGCUCUGGGCGCCGGCUCACGGCGCGCAGGAUAAGCUGCGCGUCGACCGAGGAGGCCGUCGGCGUCUCGACGUCCGUGACGACCAAGGAGAGGUCGCUGACGGUGACGGCCGUCGUGACCGCGCAGGCGCCGACCUCCGUGUACGUCGCCCGCGGCCUCGACGACAUCCAGGACCUCUUCGGCAAGACACUGCUGCUCGAGCUCGUCAGCUCCGAGCUUGACCCCAAGACGGGAAGGGAGAGGGAGAAAGUUAAGGGGUUCGCGCACAUGACGCUCAAGGAGGGGACGUACGAGGCCAAGAUGUCGGUGCCGGCGUCGUUCGGGCCGGUGGGCGCGGUGCUGGUGGAGAACGAGCACCACAGGGAGAUGUUCAUCAAGGACGUCAAGCUCAUCACCGGCGGCGACGAGAGCACCGCCAUCACCUUCGACGUCGCCUCCUGGGUGCACUCCAAGUUCGACGACCCCGAGCCGCGCGUCUUCUUCACCGUCAAGUCAUACCUGCCGUCGCAGACGCCGCCGGGAAUCGAGGCGCUGAGGAAGAAGGAGCUGGAGAAGCUGCGUGGCGACGGGCACAGCGAGCGCAAGUUCCACGAGCGCGUCUACGACUACGACACGUACAACGACCUCGGCGACCCUGACAAGAACAUCGACCACAAACGCCCGGUGCUGGGCACCAAGGAGCACCCCUACCCUCGCCGGUGCCGCACCGGCCGGCCCAAGACCCUCUACGAUCCGGAGACGGAGAGGAGGAGCUCGCCGGUGUACGUGCCGCGCGACGAGCAGUUCUCGGACGUCAAGGGGCGGACGUUCAGCGCGACGACGCUGCGGUCGGGGCUGCACGCCAUCCUGCCGGCGCUGGCGCCGCUGCUCAACAACUCGCAGUGCUUCUCGCACUUCCCGGCCAUCGACGCCCUCUACAGCGACGGCAUCCCGCUCCCCGUCGACGGGCACGGCGGCGCCUCCUUCAACGUCAUCAACGACGUCAUUCCCCGUGUCGUCCAGAUGAUCGAGGACACCACCGAGCACGUCCUCCGCUUCGAGGUCCCCGAGAUGCUUGAGAGGGACCGAUUUUCGUGGUUCAGAGACGAGGAGUUCGCGAGGCAGACGCUCGCCGGGCUCAACCCUAUCUGCAUCCGCCGCCUCACGGAAUUCCCCAUCGUGAGCAAGCUGGACCCGGCGGUGUACGGGCCGGCGGAGUCGGCGCUGACCAAGGAGGUCCUGGAGAAGAUGAUGAACGGGCGCAUGACGGUGGAGGAGGCGGUGGAGAAGAAGCGGCUGUUCCUGCUGGACUACCACGACGUGUUCCUGCCGUACGUGCACAGGGUGCGCGAGCUGCCGGACACGACGCUGUACGGGUCCCGCACCGUCUUCUUCCUGAGCGAGGAGGGCACGCUGAUGCCGCUGGCCAUCGAGCUGACGCGGCCGCAGUCGCCGACCAGGCCGCAGUGGAGGCGCGCCUUCACGCACGGCCCCGACGCCACCGAGUCGUGGCUGUGGAAGCUGGCCAAGGCGCACGUGCUGACCCACGACACCGGCUACCACCAGCUGGUCAGCCACUGGCUGCGCACGCACGCCUGCGUCGAGCCCUACAUCAUCGCCACCAACCGGCAGCUCAGCCGGAUGCACCCGGUGCACCGCCUGCUGCACCCGCACUUCCGCUACACCAUGGAGAUCAACGCGCUGGCCAGGGAGGCGCUCAUCAACGCCGACGGCAUCAUCGAGGAGGCCUUCUGGCCGGGGAGGUACUCCAUCGAGCUCAGCUCCGUCGCCUACGGCGCCGCCUGGCAGUUCGACACGGAGGCGCUGCCGGAGGACCUGGUAAGCCGGGGGCUCGCCGUGCGCAGGGACGACGGCGAGCUCGAGCUCGCCAUCAAGGACUACCCGUACGCCGACGACGGGCUCCUCAUCUGGGGCUCCAUCAAGCAGUGGGCGUCCGACUACGUGGACUUCUACUACAAGUCGGACGGCGACGUCGCCGGCGACGAGGAGCUGCGGGCGUGGUGGGAGGAGGUGCGCACCAAGGGGCACGCGGACAAGAAGGACGAGCCGUGGUGGCCCGUGUGCGACUCCAAGGAGAACCUCGUCCAGAUCCUGACCAUCAUCAUGUGGGUCACGUCCGGCCACCACGCCGCCGUCAACUUCGGGCAGUACCAUUACGCCGGGUACUUCCCCAACCGUCCGACGGUGGUGCGGAAGAACAUCCCGGUGGAAGAAAACCGGGACGAUGAGAUGAAGAAGUUCAUGGCAAGGCCAGAGGAGGUGCUGCUGCAGAGCCUCCCCUCGCAGAUGCAGGCCAUCAAGGUGAUGGCGACGCUGGACAUCCUCUCCUCACACUCCCCCGACGAGGAGUACAUGGGAGAGUACGCGGAGCCGGCGUGGCUGGCAGAGCCCAUGGUGAAGGCGGCAUUCGAGAAGUUCAGUGGCAGACUGAAGGAGGUGGAGGGCACCAUCGACCAGCGAAACAACAACCCGGAGAACAAGAACAGGUGUGGCGCCGGCAUCGUGCCGUACGAGCUGCUCAAGCCGUUCUCAGAACCAGGGGUCACUGGGAGGGGCAUCCCCAACAGCAUCUCCAUCUGA